CCUACGGGAGGCAGCAGUAGGGAAUAUUGCUCAAUGGGGGAAACCCUGAAGCAGCAACGCCGCGUGGAGGAUGAAGGUUUUCGGAUUGUAAACUCCUUUUGUUAGAGAAGAUAAUGACGGUAUCUAACGAAUAAGCACCGGCUAACUCCGUGCCAGCAGCCGCGGUAAUCCGGAGGGUGCAGGCGUUACUCGGAAUCACUGGGCGUAAAGGGCGCGUAGGCGGGAUAGCAAGUCAGAUGUGAAAGCCUAUGGCUUAACCAUAGAACUGCAUUUGAAACUGUUAUUCUAGAGUAUGGGAGGGGUAGGUGGAAUUCUUGGUGUAGGGGUAAAAUGCGUAGAGAUCAAGAGGAAUACUCAUCGCGAAGGCGA
rnacentral:rRNA from 1 species